AGGGAGUUAGUCCAAAUCAAGACCUCUGAUUUCGGCUCAGAAAAUUGUGGUUUAAACCCACAGCCCCCUU
rnacentral:tRNA from 2 species